GGACAAAUACGUAAGUACAUCAACCCAGUCCGAUCCUGCUGUCACUAGUCAUGAGCCACUAAAUACAACCCAAGACUGAAAUAAAAAGUACUAAGGAUAGGAAAGAGAAAGGCAGAGCUGCGAACGUCGUGCAGCUACCUUGCAAUCUCUGGAUAAUACUCUGAAGGCAACGAUCAACUCUCACUCGGAGGCUCUAGCAUCUAGAUCUGCACACAAGGUGCAGGGAGUAACGUGAGUACGCCAACUCAGUAAGUAACCAGAGUAAAUAAAGGCUGAGUGCAGUGACGAGCAUUUAAAAUCAUAUACAUACUUUAUAAAAGAAUCUCAACAAAAAUAUCAAAGUCAAAAUCUGUAGUUCAAUUACCGAAUAUCUCAUAAAAACUUCAAUUUCAAUAAAAGUUCUUUAAAAACUUUUACUCAACACUUUACAACAGAGGCUCAGUAUCAAAGAAGAGUGGGAACAGUAAAUUCAUAAACAAGUCCCUCGGCAAAGUAUCACUCAUAAGUAUAUCCCCUCGAGCAAGCCUCUCAGUCACUCGUGACUUAUCUCUCGUCAAUCAGUACUCACAGUCAUCACUCCCGCUUAAUAGAUAUCUCAUAAUAAUAACUACUGCGGCGUGCAGCCCGAUCCGUAAUAUAUAGUCGACUGCGCUCACUAGGGGUAUGCAGACUCCGGAGGGGCUCCUACAGCCCAAGCGCUAUAUCGCUGCGGUGUGCAUAUAUAUAUAUAUAUCGCUGCGGCAUGUAGCCCGAUCCAUAAAUAUAUAUAAUCCUCACCAUCAGGUCCUCGACCUCUCUCAGUCAUUAACCUUAUAGCCACACGGGCAUUUUAGUAAAAAUCAGGGAAUUCAGCCCAAACAGUUUCCAUAUAUUUAAAAGUAGAGUAAUGAAACUGAAUCAAAAUAAACAGGUAAAAAUCAUGACUAAGGAUAUGCUUCCAAAUCAAACAGUGUAAGGAAAGUAGUAAAAUACCCCUGAAGGUCCAAACAGUUCGGCACAAGUCCCCAAACAUGGCAUUCAACCCAAGUUAACAGAUUCAUUUCUAAAACUCAUGGAUAUCAUAUACAGUUUAUCAAAAUACGUAACUAUACAGUCGCUACGGGACGGACCUAGUCACAAUUCCUACGGGUGCACGCCUACAUGCCCAUUACGUAGUAUGUGCGUCACCUCAUUUAUCAAAACAGUACGAAAUUUCGGGGUUUCAUACCCUCGGGUCUAGAUUUACAAGAGUUAUUUACCUCAAACCGGACGAAAAUCUACUUCGCAAUGCCCUUGCCUCUCGACUCGGCUUCAAAUCGUCUCGAAUCUAUCCAAAAUCAGAUUCAUAACAUCAAUACAAGCCAAAGGGACAAAGCCCACUUGAAAAUUAUCAAAUUAAACUCAAAAUCCCGAAAUUGGUCAAACCCGACCCUCGGGUCCGCGUCUCAAAAUCCGAUAAAAAUCACAACACUAGAAUCCUCAUCCUCUCACGAGUUAUACAUACCAAGAACAUCAAAAUCGGACCUCAAAUGGCCCCUCAAAUCCCCAAUGAAAACUCUAUAAUUUCAAGCCAUAGUCUCCCAAUUUCUUCUCUAAUUUUCCAUAACUUUCAUCAUUAUACAAUGGAAUAAUUGCCACAAACAUAAGAUACAAGGUCCAAGUAGCUUACCUCACUGAAAACACUUAAAUUCCUCCUUGAAAUCGAAAUUCCCAAGCUCCAACUCGGCCAAAAAUGGUGGAUAAAAGACUGAAAUUCGCGAAGUGAGGUUUAUAUAGUUUCUGCCCAGCGAUUUUCGCACCUGCGAUCCACUUCCUGCACCUGCGGGACCGCUUCUGCUUUCCAGCUAACCGCUUAUGCAGUUUUCACUUAUUUUCCCUUAACCACAUUUGCGACUCCCCACCGCACCUGCGGUAACGCAGGUGCGUUCCUUCUUCCGCACCUGCGGCUCCUGGCCUUCUCACUUAUGGCCGCAUCUGCAGCUGCUUCCUCGCUCCUGCGGACGUCGCAUAUACGGUUCCCUCUCCGCAUGUGUGGUUAUGAUAGUACACAACAGCUGAAGCUGAUCAUUAUCAAUACCAAACUUUUCGACAAUCUUCUGAAUUCAUCGUGAGGCCCCCAGGACCUCAACCAAAAAUACGAACAUGUCACAUAUCAUCAUUCAAACUCAUACCUAUCAUACCUCCCUUUUACUACCCCGAGGGUAUAUGAGAGUUUUUUCAAUUGAAGUGACAUAAAUCGAAAUNNNNNNNNNNNNNNNNNNNNNNNNNNNNNNNNNNNNNNNNNNNNNNNNNNNNNNNNCGAGGAAAUUUUCGACUUUAUUUUACAGUCUGCGAACCAGAAAUUCUAGAUAAGGAAUUCUGUUAACCCGGAAAAAGGUGCUAGCCAUUCCCGGAUUCCGUGGUUCUAGCACGAUGGCUUAGUGAUUAUUACUUGGCUUAAAUUGUUUAACUACUCAUUUUUAAGACGUAUGUGCAUUUAUCUUUUACCGCUUUUAAUUACUUGAAUUAAUCGUAAUUAAAGAAUUGAGUUACGCGUAUGUAUACUCUCUUCUUCGGGUGCGUCAAAAAUUAUGUCACGCGAACAUGUCCACAAUUAAUAAUGCUUUGUGUAUUUUAUUAAGGAAAUUUGGUUGAAGUUGCGUGAAUGCAUCCCUCGGGUUACUUUUAGAAUUAAAUUUGCAAUUAUGUUACGUGAACGUAUACACAAUCACAAUACUAAUCUAAAUCGAGCCUAAAGCAAACUACGAUUAUUUAGGAUUAUUUUAAUACUAAGUUAAUAUUUAUACGAGGGCCAUAGAUUAUUUAGUGAAAAGAUGUCACACCUCAAUUUUUAGAAGGCUUGUUUAAUCAAGAUAAUAAAGGAGUUAUUACUCACAAAUAUUUUGGGCUUAAUGUCAAACAAGCCUAUAACGAUUUGGACAAGAGAAACUGGGCCAAUAGCAGCCCAGUAUAUCAUUGACAAGGUGAAAUAAAGGGAAGUGGAGAUGUCACCAAUUGGGCUCCAAAAUCGGGCCCAGAUGCAGGACCAGAGGGAAAUUGAAUAACAGAGGUCUAAUUUGGCUAGGAAUCACGACUUGGGCCAUCAACAGACCCAAUUUUUCAAUGGUCAAGUUUUAAAUACUAACAACAACUACUGCAAUCACAACAAAAAUUUUAUGCCAAUAUUUGCAUGAGUUUUAAAACAAAACGCAUAAUACAAUAGGCCCUAACUGAUUAAGUUGUAUCUAAUAAUAAAAGGACCAAAUUAGAAUCUACACCAUUUUAAAACACGGAUGAACAAUCACUUUUAAAAAUACAUAUAUGGAAUCAGUAGCGAUUAAGGGCUAAAUGGUUGUAUUCUUUCUUACAAGGGGACUAACUCUUAUUUACAAGACGUAUAAAAGACCUUUCAAUUGAAACACUCAUUCUAAAUCAAAAUUUUAAAGCUUCCAAAUAUCUUACACAUCACAGCCAUGCUAGCAAAGAAGAAAUCCAACUAUAAUACUAACACUCCUCAUGACUUACAUGAAUAUGUUUAUCUAAAAGAGUCUAAAACAACCCUACAUAUACAGUCCUUCAAAUAGUAGCCCAGUCUCUUAUAUACACAUGAAGUUCCAACUCUAAUUUUCAGCUCAAAAAAAAAGCUAAGACAAAACUGGAUAAAAAUAGACAUCGAUUUGACAUAAUGAAAUGAGGACUUAAACAGAUGAAGAGAAAGAAUGAAAAUGGAAAAAAGAAGAAAAGAAGCAAGAAAGUGUUUUAAAAAGAAGAAACACAGAUCUGCAGCUUCAACAUGUAACCAAGCAUAUUAUAACUUCAACUUUGCAUUUCAUGGUUUGGUGAAGUACCUGGUACAACAAGUAAAGCAAAAUUCUGAGGUCAAACAAUAUAAAAAUCCACCAAAAAAAUAGCAACCAAAUGAGCAACGAAAAUCACAGCUUCAAUGAGCAGCUCUACUUCAACUUAGAACCCAGAAAAUUCCCAUGAAAUAGAACCCUUUUGUAAAAAAAACUAGUAUGCUUUUCGAGUGAACUUAGAAUGAGAGAAUGCAUAGAACUUUUAGGUCUUUCUUUUAGGUUAUCCAAAUCU
rnacentral:lncRNA from 1 species